UAGUUGAGCAAUCUAGUUUUCAAUGGUUUUGAAGCGUGUUCCGUCGGCCAUGGGUUCAAUGAGAGCACCAGUUGUAAUGACUUAAAUAAAAUAGGAAUAAAAUAUCACUGUGUUAUUGAUAUAGCAAGAUGAAAAUCACUCCUAGUACAGUACUAAGAGAGCUAGUGAUAUAAUGGUGACUGUAAUAACAAAAAGAAGUAAUGACAACUUCUCAUAACAGAAUUCCCAGCCAGUGGGUACAGAAAGAGAGAGAAAAGAGACUCACUAAAAUCAAUCACCUUACUCCAUUCCACUAGUUAGUUUUAUACCCUGUCAAUCUAGUGUUAGGAUAUUUGAUCCUCUGGCCACGUCUUGCUUCCACAAUUUCUGGAUCACUAACAACUUUUAUUCCCUCCUGUGCUGCCACAUUCUCUGACUCAGCAUGUUGUGGACCCUCUUCACAUAAGAUCCUCUGGCCACGUCUUGCUUCCACAAUUUCUGGAUCACUAACAACUUUUAUUCCCUCCUGUGCUGCCACAUUCUCUGACUCA
rnacentral:lncRNA from 1 species